UCGAGAAUCUUCCGCAAUGGGCGAAAGCCUGACGGAGCGACGUCGCGUGGUUGAUGAAGUCCUUCGGGAUGUAAAGACCUUUUAUGUGGGAGAAAGUUAUUGAUAGUACCACAUGAAUAAGGGGUUGCUAAACUCGUGCCAGCAGCAGCGGUAAUACGAGUGCCCCAAGCGUUAUCCGGAAUUAUUGGGUGUAAAGGGUGCGUAGGUGGUUUUGUUAGUCUUGUGUUAAAACCCGGAGCUUAACUCCGGA
rnacentral:rRNA from 1 species